rnacentral:rRNA from 1 species
UACGUAGGUGGCAAGCGUUUGUCCGGAAUUAUUGGGCGUAAAGCGCGCGCAGGCGGUCCUUUAAGUCUGAUGUGAAAGCCCACGGCUCAACCGUGGAGGGUCAUUGGAAACUGGGGGACUUGAGUGCAGAAGAGGAAAGCGGAAUUCCACGUGUAGCGGUGAAAUGCGUAGAGAUGUGGAGGAACACCAGUGGCGAAGGCGGCUUUCUGGUCUGUAAACUGACGCUGAGGCGCGAAAGCGUGGGGAGCAAACAGG